UCAUAAAACCAGACUGUCAGAGCCGAGCCGAGCCACACUGAGCUGCGCCACGGUGAGGCAGGGCACGGCACCGUCAACCACCGAGGACCGGACCGGACCGGGUGAAUGCAGUCCCGCACACCGGACUCUGCCGCACACGCUUUCGGACAUACGAGGACGCACGGAGCGGCCGAACGGCGGAACAGCCACGGGGAAAAGGCGUUAGUCACCGGUGAACAGCCUCCCAAAGCAGCCCGAGUGUGAAUGCACAGCCCCCCCAGUUGGCAAACUCUUCAUCCCCCCCCCUGACAGAACUGACCAUCCUCAUCCUCCACAAGCAGAAGGUGCGUUUUUGGUGAAGGAUCCGUCCGUCCGUCCGUCCGCCAUGGAGAACGCACAUACGAAGAGUGUGGAAGAAGUUUACAGUUAUUUCUGCGUCAAUGAAAGCACAGGACUUCCCCUGGACGAGGUGAAGCGGCAGCGGGAGAAAUGGGGCCUGAACGAGUUACCGGCAGAAGAAGGGAAAUCUUUAUGGGAGCUUGUCCUUGAACAGUUUGAAGAUCUACUUGUACGAAUCCUUCUACUGGCUGCCUGUAUAUCUUUUGUCCUAGCCUGGUUUGAGGAAGGAGAGGAAACUAUCACAGCCUUUGUGGAGCCUUUUGUAAUCUUACUCAUUCUUAUAGCUAACGCCAUUGUUGGAGUAUGGCAGGAACGCAACGCUGAGGAUGCCAUUGAGGCGCUUAAGGAGUAUGAGCCGGAGAUGGGGAAAGUGUACCGACAGGACAGGAAAACUGUCCAGAGGAUCAAGGCCAGAGACAUUGUGCCAGGGGACAUUGUGGAGGUUGCAGUCGGAGACAAGGUGCCUGCUGACAUCCGCAUCUGUUCAAUCAAAUCAACAACUCUGAGGGUGGACCAGUCCAUUUUAACUGGUGAAUCUGUCUCCGUGAUCAAACACACCGACCCCGUGCCUGACCCACGAGCUGUCAAUCAAGACAAGAAGAACAUGCUCUUCUCUGGUACCAACAUCGCAGCUGGAAAAGCUGUGGGUGUGGUUGUAGCCACCGGGGUCAACACGGAGAUCGGUAAGAUCCGCGACGAGAUGGCGGCCACUGAACAGGAGAAGACGCCUCUGCAGCAGAAGUUGGAUGAGUUCGGCCAGCAGCUGUCCAAGGUCAUCUCCAUCAUCUGCAUCGCCGUGUGGAUCAUCAACAUCGGACACUUCAACGACCCCGUCCACGGUGGCUCCUGGAUCCGCGGGGCUGUCUACUACUUCAAGAUCGCCGUGGCCCUGGCUGUGGCCGCCAUCCCCGAGGGGCUCCCUGCUGUCAUCACCACCUGCCUGGCCCUGGGCACCCGCCGCAUGGCCAAGAAGAACGCCAUCGUCCGCAGCCUGCCCUCCGUGGAGACUUUGGGCUGCACCUCUGUCAUCUGCUCUGACAAGACAGGAACACUGACCACCAACCAGAUGUCCGUCUGCAGAAUGUUCAUCCUCAACAAAGCAGAGGGCGACAGCUGUUCUCUGGCAGAAUUUACCGUCACAGGUUCAACCUACGCACCAGAGGGAGAAGUGUACCAUGAUGGAAAACUCGUCACCUGCUCCCAGUACGAUGCACUAGUUGAACUGGCCACCAUCUGCGCCCUGUGCAACGACUCCUCUCUGGACUUUAAUGAGGUGAAAGGUGUGUACGAGAAGGUCGGCGAGGCCACUGAGACGGCGCUGACCUGUCUGGUGGAAAAGAUGAACGUCUUCGACACUGAAAUCCACAACUUGUCUAAGAUUGACAGAGCAAACGCCUGCAACUCUGUGAUCAAGCAGUUGAUGAAGAAGGAGUUCACGCUGGAGUUCUCCCGAGACAGGAAGUCCAUGUCCGUCUACUGCACCCCCAACAAGUCACGCUCUUCCAUGGGCAAAAUGUUUGUGAAGGGCGCUCCAGAGGGAGUUAUUGAGAGAUGCACUCACGUCAGAGUGGGCAACAAUAAAGUCCCACUCACCAAAGGUAUCAAAGAGAAGAUCCUGUCGGUGAUCCGGGAGUAUGGGACCGGUCGGGACACCCUGAGGUGUUUGGCUCUGGCCACACGAGACACCCCACCCAAAAUGGAUGAGAUGAUACUAUCAGACACAGCCAAGUUCUCAGAGUAUGAGUCUGACCUGACCUUCGUGGGCUGUGUCGGGAUGUUGGACCCCCCUAGGCAGGAGGUGGCCGCCUCCAUCAAGCUGUGUCGACAGGCGGGCAUCCGGGUCAUCAUGAUCACCGGGGACAACAAGGGCACAGCUGUGGCCAUCUGCCGUCGAAUCGGCAUCCUGACUGAGGAGGACGACGUGGAGCGCAUGGCCUUCACCGGACGAGAGUUUGAUGAACUGUCCCUCAACACCCAGCGCGAGGCUGUGACUCAUGCACGCUGCUUCGCCCGCGUCGAACCGUCCCACAAGUCGAAGAUCGUCGAGUUCCUGCAGGGCUUUGAUGAGAUCACUGCAAUGACCGGUGAUGGAGUGAACGACGCCCCGGCCUUGAAGAAGGCAGAGAUUGGCAUCGCCAUGGGCUCUGGCACCGCCGUGGCCAAGUCAGCCUCCGAGAUGGUCCUCGCUGAUGACAACUUCUCCUCUAUCGUGGCUGCCGUGGAAGAAGGCCGAGCAAUAUACAACAACAUGAAGCAGUUCAUCAGAUACCUUAUCUCCUCCAACGUGGGGGAGGUCGUCUGCAUCUUCCUCACUGCUGCUCUUGGCUUCCCUGAGGCUCUGAUCCCAGUCCAGCUGCUCUGGGUCAACCUGGUCACAGACGGCCUCCCCGCCACAGCUCUGGGCUUCAACCCCCCAGAUCUGGACAUUAUGGAGAAGCCCCCUCGCAACGCUAAGGAGCCGCUCAUCUCCGGAUGGCUCUUCUUCAGAUACUUGGCCAUUGGAGGUUAUGUGGGCGCUGCCACCGUGGGAGCUGCUGCCUGGUGGUUCGUUUUGUCUGAAGACGGACCUCAGCUCAAUCUGUACCAGCUGAGCCACUUCCUCCAGUGUUCCCCAGACAACCCCGACUUCGACGGCCUGGACUGCCAGGUGUUCGAAUCCCCCUACCCCAUGACCAUGGCCCUGUCGGUGCUCGUCACUAUUGAGAUGUGCAACGCUCUCAACAGUCUGUCGGAGAACCAGUCGCUGCUGCGGAUGCCCCCCUGGGAGAACAUUUGGCUUCUGGGGGCCAUCUGCCUCUCCAUGUCCCUCCACUUCCUCAUCCUCUAUGUGGAACCCCUGCCUGUCAUCUUCCAGAUCACGCCUCUGGACACGACUCAGUGGAUGAUGGUGCUGAAGAUCUCGCUGCCCGUCAUCCUGCUGGACGAGCUGCUAAAGUUUAUGGCCAGGAACUACUUGGAGUUCGGUAACCAGCUGGAGAAACCGGCCAGAAAAGGCUGCUCUCUGUCUGCAUGCGCCGACGGCAUCUCGUGGCCGUUCGUGGCCAUCUCCCUGCCCCUGGUGUUGUGGAUCUACAGCACCGACACUAACGUAUCCGCCAUGUUCUGGCCCUGACUGACUCCAGUUCACCCCCUUCCCUGUGCACCAGUGUGACGUGGACAUUAACACACACCUCUAACAGUUACUUUAACUCGGAACAACGUAGAGUCGACACCUGCACCUGCUCUGACAGUCCGUGAAGGCCAAGUAAGCUGCCUCUCCUCUAAAUUCCUUGCCGAAUCUUUGGUUUUGUUUUGUGUUGUGCAUGUGUGUUUCGGGCAGCACAUCUUACAAGAGCUGCAUGUCAGUUUAAAUACAGUGAAGACAGGGCUCAUCAUCAUCAUCAUCCUCAUGUCACUUUUCUGAAACGGCCAUGAAUAAACGUCUGAUGAAAACUAGCCAGUUCCAUCUCAGCAGUCCUUCUAUUGUCCUGCAUGAAGAGCCUUAGAUAAGAACCAGAUCUCAUGCCAUGUUUUUAGACAAAGAUCUUAGUACCGUGUACAGUAAAUGUACAUUAUUCCAUGGUGCAUGUCCGCUGAAUCAGCCAUCUGUUUUACCAGACUUGUGUCAUAGACGAUGUAUAGUAUUGGUACAUAGAUUAGACAUUCGUCAGAUAGUACAAAUGUUAAAUAAGCUCAAAAACACGGUUCAUCUUUCCUAAGGAAAUACUUUUAUGGGAUAUUUAAAAACCAAACAGACUUUUGUUGUUUUUUUCUUCUUUGCACUGAGAUGUGCGACAUGUUUGGAGCAGAUUUUGCCAUAUCUGGGAAUGCAGCGGUGUUAGCAUACGAGCAGCAGGCUGUCCCUCCUUUGGCAUUUUGUGCCAAACUGCUGUACUGUAUUUUCAGAGAUGAUUGUACAAUGUAUCACAUGAAUAAAAACUGUCAAACAUGAAGAGUUUC